rnacentral:rRNA from 1 species
GAUGAACGCUGGCGGCGUGCCUAAUACAUGCAAGUAGAACGCUGAAGGAAGGAGCUUGCUCUUUCCGGAUGAGUUGCGAACGGGUGAGUAACGCGUAGGUAACCUGCCUGGUAGCGGGGGAUAACUAUUGGAAACGAUAGCUAAUACCGCAUAACAGUAGAUGUUGCAUGAUAUCUACUUAAAAGGUGCAAUUGCACCACUACCAGAUGGACCUGCGUUGUAUUAGCUAGUUGGUGAGGUAACGGCUCACCAAGGCGACGAUACAUAGCCGACCUGAGAGGGUGAUCGGCCACACUGGGACUGAGACACGGCCCAGACUCCUACGGGAGGCAGCAGUAGGGAAUCUUCGGCAAUGGACGGAAGUCUGACCGAGCAACGCCGCGUGAGUGAAGAAGGUUUUCGGAUCGUAAAGCUCUGUUGUAAGGGAAGAACGAGUGUGAGAGUGGAAAGUUCACACUGUGACGGUAUCUUACCAGAAAGGGACGGCUAACUACGUG